UCCACAUUGUGAGGUGGGUCCUACAAAUACGUAUCUUAAAUAACUCAACUUAAGAGCCGUCAAAGUUAAUUGUAAAGUAAAAAUUAUGGUAUUUGUGAAACUUAAAUGUAAAGUGAAAAUUAUCUUGUGAAAAUGGUCAUGUAGUCACAAUACCAUGUUUCGUUGAUGGGUAAAAUUUCAUGAGAAAGUGAUUGCAAUAGUAACGAUAGAUAUGUGAUAGGCUUGAUAGUACG
rnacentral:lncRNA from 1 species